UACGAAGGGGGCUAGCGUUGUUCGGAUUUACUGGGCGUAAAGGAUGCGUAGGCGGAUAUAUAAGUCAGAUGUGAAAUACCCCGGGCUCAACUUGGGUGCUGCAUUUGAAACUGUAUAUCUAGAGUGCGGGAGAGGUAAGUGGAAUUCCUAGUGUAGCGGUGAAAUGCGUAGAGAUUAGGAAGAACACCAGUGGCGAAGGCGACUUACUGGACCGUAACUGACGCUGAGGCAUGAAAGCGUGGGGAGCAAACAGG
rnacentral:rRNA from 1 species